rnacentral:rRNA from 1 species
UACGGAGGGUGCGAGCGUUACUCGGAGUCACUGGGCGUAAAGCGUCCGUAGGCGGUCGGGUAAGUCGGGUGUGAAAGCCCCGGGCUCAACCUGGGAAGUGCACCCGAUACUGCUCGACUCGAGUGCGGGAGAGGAUGGCGGAAUUCCCGGUGUAGCGGUGAAAUGCGUAGAGAUCGGGAGGAACACCAGUGGCGAAGGCGGCCAUCUGGCCCGCAACUGACGCUGAGGGACGAAAGCGUGGGGAGCAAACAGGAUUAGAAACCCCAGUAGUCC